GACGAACGCUGGCGGCGUGCUUAACACAUGCAAGUCGAACGGAAAGGCCCUGCUUUUGUGGGGUGCUCGAGUGGCGAACGGGUGAGUAACACGUGAGUAACCUGCCCUUGACUUUGGGAUAACUUCAGGAAACUGGGGCUAAUACCGGAUAGGAGCUCCUGCUGCAUGGUGGGGGUUGGAAAGUUUCGGCGGUUGGGGAUGGACUCGCGGCUUAUCAGCUUGUUGGUGGGGUAGUGGCUUACCAAGGCUUUGACGGGUAGCCGGCCUGGGAGGGUGACCGGCCACCUUAGGACUGAGAUACGGCCCAGACUCCAACGGGAGGCAGCGGUGGGGAAUAUUGCACAAUGGGCGGGAGCCUGAUGCAGCAACGCCGCGUGCGGGAUGACGGCCUUCGGGUUGUAAACCGCUUUCGCCUGUGACGAAGCGUGAGUGACGGUAAUGGGUAAAGAAGCACCGGCUAACUACGUG
rnacentral:rRNA from 1 species